rnacentral:rRNA from 1 species
GAUGAACGCUGGCGGCGUGCCUAAUACAUGCAAGUCGAGCGAACGGACGAGAAGCUUGCUUUUCUGAUGUUAGCGGCGGACGGGUGAGUAACACGUGGAUAACCUACCUAUAAGACUGGGAUAACUUCGGGAAACCGGAGCUAAUACCGGAUAAUAUUUUGAACCGCAUGGUUCAAAAGUGAAAGACGGUCUUGCUGUCACUUAUAGAUGGAUCCGCGCUGCAUUAGCUAGUUGGUAAGGUAACGGCUUACCAAGGCAACGAUGCAUAGCCGACCUGAGAGGGUGAUCGGCCACACUGGAACGUAGACACGGUCCAGACUCCUACGGGAGGCAGCAGUAGGGAAUCUUCCGCAAUGGGCGAAAGCCUGACGGAGCAACGCCGCGUGAGUGAUGAAGGUCUUCGGAUCGUAAAACUCUGUUAUUAGGGAAGAACAUAUGUGUAAGUAACUGUGCACAUCUUGACGGUACCUAAUCAGAAAGCCACGGCUAACUACGUG